CAAAAGUGUAUAUAUAUGUUGCUGCAGUUAGAAAGCUCGUAGUUGGAGAUUGGACAUUCGUAACGGUUACGAAUUUGAUUGGUUCGGUUACGUUCGCUUUAACCUGGUCGUUACCAUAAUAGGUAUGCGAGUGUGAUCGAAUGCUACCUUGAGUAAAUGAGCGUUCUCAGAGCAUGCUGUCGCGUUGGAUACUCUAGCACGGAAUAGUCAAGAUUGUACCGCACAUUAGGCGGAGAUGGUCGGCAUAACGAUUAAAAGGGUCAGACGGGGAUCAUCGUACUCAACUAUUAGAGGUGAAAUUCUAGGAUUUGCGGAGGACGACCUAAGGCGAAAGCAUUGGUCAAGUAUGUUCCCGUUAAUCAAGAACGAAAGUUGGGGAUUCGAAGACGAUUAGAUACCAU
rnacentral:rRNA from 1 species